GGAGGGCUGUAGCUCAGGGGCAGAGCAUCUGUUUUCCAUGCAGAAGGUCCAAGGUUCAAUCCCUGGCACCUCCA